UACAGGGGGGGCAAGCGUUGUUCGGAAUUACUGGGCGUAAAGGGUCUGUAGGUGGCUUACUAAGUCAGACGUGAAAGCCCUGGGCUUAACCUAGGAAGUGCAUUCGAAACUCCCGAGCUUGAGUUCUGGAGAGGAAGGCGGAAUUCUCGGUGUAGAGGUGAAAUUCGUAGAUAUCGAGAGGAACACCGGUGGCGAAGGCGGCCUUCUGGACAGUGACUGACGCUGAGACGCGAAAGCGUGGGGAGCAAACAGG
rnacentral:rRNA from 1 species